UACAAAGGAGAGAAAGGACUACCUGUCA
rnacentral:piRNA from 1 species